AAACUUAUCAGGAUGUCAUUAAAUGUCAUAAACAUCCACAAAGCAGUGUAUUGGUAACCAAAAAUGUAAAUAAAAAUUAUUUAGGAACUAAUUCUUAACUUGUCAACUGUACCAGCAAACAGGUUAUCAAGACCUCUUGAGCAAAAUGUCGACCAAAUCCAGAGGCAAGUCAAACAUCAAGAUAACGCUGGAUACAGCGAAAAUAUCAAAAUUCCACCAAGAAAACAACAUGCUGGCGUAUACCGUGCUUACGUUCUUCGUGGUGCUAAUCUUAUAUGUCGCAACUAAAGACUGGAAAGGCUACACUAGUCCAGAAGAAGUGGACCUCGGAGCUGUGCAAGUACCGUCACAUGCCUGCAGGCGAAAACACGCGCAUUUACGCAGGCAUUCAUAAAUUGAUCUAGACGAGAAUAUACGGCAAAUAAAUAUCUAAGGUGACAAGAAGUAAACAUCAUACACUGCAAUAUAUUUUUAUUUCAUGUGA